AGUGAACGCUGGCGGUAGGCCUAACACAUGCAAGUCGAACGGCAGCACAGUAAGAGCUUGCUCUUACGGGUGGCGAGUGGCGGACGGGUGAGGAAUACAUCGGAAUCUACUUUUUCGUGGGGGAUAACGUAGGGAAACUUACGCUAAUACCGCAUACGACCUACGGGUGAAAGCAGGGGAUCUUCGGACCUUGCGCGAUUGAAUGAGCCGAUGUCGGAUUAGCUAGUUGGCGGGGUAAAGGCCCGCCAAGGCGACGAUCCGUAGCUGGUCUGAGAGGAUGAUCAGCCACACUGGAACUGAGACACGGUCCAGACUCCUACGGGAGGCAGCAGUGGGGAAUAUUGGACAAUGGGCGCAAGCCUGAUCCAGCCAUACCGCUUGGGUGAAGAAGGCCUUCGGGUUGUAAAGCCCUUUUGUUGGGAAAGAAAAGCAGCAGGUUAAUACCCCGCUGUUCUGACGGUACCCAAAGAAUAAGCACCGGCUAACUUCGUG
rnacentral:rRNA from 1 species